GCCUGGUAGGCUCAGUUUGUAAAGCAUGUGACUCUUGAUCUCAGGGUUGUGAGUUCAAGUCCCAUGUUGGGCA
rnacentral:tRNA from 1 species